CUGUAUAUGUUUAUCUUAUUGAUUAUUGAAUAAAAUACUGUUUGGCCAAUGAGACAGCAAGUUAGAUGGAAGUAGGAGUCAAAGAGGAUUCUGGGAAAUGUAGUAGAGAAGUGCUGAUCCAGGCAGGAAGUAACAUAGCAAGGAGACUCAUAUAUAAGUGUAAGAGAAACAGGAAGGGCCCUCUUUUCCCCUUGGCUCCUGCUCCAGCGGCAUGAUGUGACCCACCAGCUAGGAGGGACACCAAUAAGGCGUCAGAUAAGAUAAGUCUCAUAAAAUAUAUAGAUGUAUGAUAAUUGAGACUGAGCUAACAGAUGAGAAUCCUAGUCAUUGGCCAAGCAGCAUUGUAACUAAUACAAGUCUCUCUGUGUAUUCAUUUGGGCUUAACUUGGGCAGGUGGCUGACAUAAAGCACACACGUGGCGGUGGGGCUCAGGCAGCUUUUGGUGGAAAGAUUUAUCGUAACAGACACAAGGUAGAGUCAUCUGAAAUAAGAGAACUUCAUUUGAGAAAAUGCCUCCAUAAGUUUGGGUUAUAUUCAGGACUUUAUGGCAUUUUCUCAAUUAGUGACAAAUACAGAGGGAUUCAGCUCAUUUUGGAUAGUGUCACCCAUGGACUGGUGCUUCUGGGUGCUAUGAGAAUCCAGGCUGAGCAAGCCUUGAGGAACAAGUCAGUAAGCAGCACUCCUCUACAGCCUCUGCAUCCAUGUCUGCCUCCAGGUUCCUAGCCUGUUUGAGUUCCUUCCCUGAGUUUCUUCAGUGUUGGACUAUAUUAUGGAAAUGUAAGAGCAGCCAUGUGAUCUCGCAAGAGAAGACCCCUGCAGUUGGCAUCCAAUAAGAGGGUUUUUCUACAUAACCGUGGAUGACUUGGAACUCACUAUGUACACCAGGCUGGCCUUGAACUCACAAAGAACCAUGUGCCUCUUCCUCUCAAAUGCUAGGAUUAAAAGCAUGCACCAUCAUGCCUGGCUAUUUUUAAUAUUUUAAAAGCCUCAAUAAAUAAAUAAAUAAAACCUCCACAGUGAUUUCUAUAGUGGCUGUAUCAGGUUAUACUCCCAUCAACAGAGAAUCAGAGUUGUUCUUUUCCCAAAUUCUUGCCAGUUUUAUUUCCUUGAUGAUAGCCAUUCUAAGUAGAGUAAGACAGAACUUCAAAGUCAUUUUAAUUUCCAUUUCCCAAAUGGCUAAAAAUGUUGGACACUUUUAAAAAUAUGUUUUGGCCACUUCUAUUUCUUCUUUGGGAAGCUGUUCAAUUCAUUGGCUCCUGUAUUUGGUUGGCAGCUUUGUUUCUUUGGUGGCUAGUCUUUGAAGUUCUUUAUAUCUUCUACAAAGAGUCCCUGGUCUCCAAUAUACCUGGCCAAGGGUCUAGCCUGUCCUGAAGUCUGCCUGUUUAUUCUGCUACACUACAAUAAAUGACAAGAAUAAAAGGAAACACUGAAACUCCGAGAACUUGGAUUCUGCCAUAAAUACCUGAUAAAUAUAAAUAAACGAAAAUGUAAAUGGUAAGCACUCUGGAGGUAGGCUAGGUGGUCGGGAAGACCUCUCUUAAAAUAGUGAGACAUGUGGAAUAAUGUGCAGGGAAGGCAGGAUCCCACCAUAACAUAACCCGAAGAAAGAUCAUUGCAGACAGAGGGAACAGAAACUGUAGAGGCUUUUAUCCAGGGAAUCUAUGACUGAUUAGAGAAGAGUGAUUAAGAGAGAGACUGUGUGUGUGUGUGUGUGUG
ensembl:lncRNA